GGGUCAGUAGGUUGGUCGUGCCACCGGUACGUACUGGUCUCACUGAUUCCUCCUUCCUGAAGAACCGUAAUGCCAUUAAUUUGGUGUUGCGGGGAGACAGGACUGUUACUUUGAAAAAAUUAGAGUGUUUAAAGCAAGCUAACGCUUGAAUACAUUAGCAUGGAAUAAUGAAAUAGGACGAUCGAUCCUAUUUUGUUGGCUUCUAGGAUUGACGUA
rnacentral:rRNA from 1 species